rnacentral:rRNA from 1 species
AGUGAACGCUGGCGGUAGGCCUAACACAUGCAAGUCGAACGGCAGCACAGUAAGAGCUUGCUCUUACGGGUGGCGAGUGGCGGACGGGUGAGGAAUACAUCGGAAUCUACUUUUUCGUGGGGGAUAACGUAGGGAAACUUACGCUAAUACCGCAUACGACCUACGGGUGAAAGCAGGGGAUCUUCGGACCUUGCGCGGUUGAAUGAGCCGAUGUCGGAUUAGCUAGUUGGCGGGGUAAAGGCCCACCAAGGCGACGAGCCGUAGCUGGUCUGAGAGGAUGAUCAGCCACAAUGGAACUGAGACACGGUCCAGACUCCUACGGGAGGCAGCAGUGGGGAAUAUUGGACAAUGGGCGCAAGCCUGAUCCAGCCAUACCGCGUGGGUGAAGAAGGCCUUCGGGUUGUAAAGCCCUUUUGUUGGGAAAGAAAAGCAGCAGGUUAAUACCCCGCUGUUCUGACGGUACCCAAAGAAUAAGCACCGGCUAACUUCGUG